rnacentral:rRNA from 1 species
UACGGGGGGGGGCAAGCGUUGUUCGGAAUUACUGGGCGUAAAGGGCUCGUAGGCGGCCAACUAAGUCAGACGUGAAAUCCCUCGGCUUAACCGGGGAACGGCGUCUGAUACUGGAUGGCUUGAAUCCGGGAGAGGGAUGCGGAAUUCCAGGGGUAGCGGUGAAAUGCGUAGAUAUCUGGAGGAACACCGGUGGCGAAGGCGGCAUCCUGGACCGGCAUUGACGCUGAGGAGCGAAAGCCAGGGGAGCAAACGGG